rnacentral:rRNA from 1 species
GACCUCGGAUCAGGAAGGAAUACCCGCUGAACUUAAGCAUAUCAAUAAGCGGAGGAAAAGAAACCAACAGGGAUUACCUCAGUAACGGCGAGUGAAGCGGUAAUAGCUCAAAUUUGAAAUCUGGCUCUCUCAGGGUCCGAGUUGUAAUUUGUAGAGGAUGUUUCGGGCACGGUUACGGUUUAAAUUUCUUGGAACAGAAUGUCAAAGAGGGUGAGAGUCCCGUCUUGAACCGAUUACUUCGUCCAUGUGAAACUCCUUCGACGAGUCGAGUUGUUUGGGAAUGCAGCUCAAAAUGGGUGGUAAAUUUCAUCUAAAGCUAAAUAUUGGCCAGAGACGAUAGCGCACAAGUAGAGUGAUCGAAAGAUGAAAAGCACUUUGAAAAGAGAGUUAAACAGUAUGUGAAAUUGUUGAAAGGGAAGCGC